AGGACGAACGCUGGCGGCGUGCUUAACACAUGCAAGUCGAGCGGUAAGGCCUUUCGGGGUACACGAGCGGCGAACGGGUGAGUAACACGUGGGUGAUCUGCCCUGCACUCUGGGAUAAGCCUGGGAAACUGGGUCUAAUACCGGAUAUGACCUGCUCUCGCAUGGGGGUGGGUGGAAAGAUUUAUCGGUGCAGGAUGGGCCCGCGGCCUAUCAGCUUGUUGGUGGGGUAAUGGCCCACCAAGGCGACGACGGGUAGCCGACCUGAGAGGGUGACCGGCCACACUGGGACUGAGACACGGCCCAGACUCCUACGGGAGGCAGCAGUGGGGAAUAUUGCACAAUGGGCGAAAGCCUGAUGCAGCGACGCCGCGUGAGGAUGAAGGCCUUCGGGUUGUAAACCUCUUUCAGCAGGACGAAGCGCAAGUGACGGUACCUGCAGAAGAAGCACCGGCUAACUACGUGCCAGCAGCCGC
rnacentral:rRNA from 1 species